rnacentral:rRNA from 1 species
UGGGGAAUAUUGCACAAUGGGCGCAAGCCUGAUGCAGCAACGCCGCGUGAGGGAUGACGGCCUUCGGGUUGUAAACCUCUUUUAGUAGGGAAGAAGCGAAAGUGACGGUACCUGCAGAAAAAGCACCGGCUAACUACGUGCCAGCAGCCGCGGUAAUACGUAGGGUGCGAGCGUUGUCCGGAAUUAUUGGGCGUAAAGAGCUCGUAGGCGGUCUGUCGCGUCUGCUGUGAAAAACCCGAGGCUCAACCUCGGGCCUGCAGUGGGUACGGGCAGACUAGAGUGCGGUAGGGGAGAAUGGAAUUCCUGGUGUAGCGGUGGAAUGCGCAGAUAUCAGGAGGAACACCGAUGGCGAAGGCAGUUCUCUGGGCCGUAACUGACGCUGAGGAGCGAAAAGCGUGGGGAGCGAACAGGAUUAGAUACCCUGGUAGUCCACGCCGUAAA